rnacentral:rRNA from 1 species
AGGACGAACGCUGGCGGCGUGCUUAACACAUGCAAGUCGAGCGGAAAGGCCCUUCGGGGUACUCGAGCGGCGAACGGGUGAGUAACACGUGAGCAAUCUGCCCCUAGCUUCGGGAUAGCUCCGGGAAACCGGAAUUAAUACCGAAUAUUACUACGGCCGACAUCGGCUGUGGUGGAAAGUUUUUCGGCUAGGGAUGAGCUCGCGGCCUAUCAGCUUGUUGAUGAGGUAACGGCUCACCAAGGCGACGACGGGUA